CUCUAGAUAUGACAGCUGCUUUAUAGGGGGUAGAGGCGCUUGCUAAAGGACACUAUGAAGAUGUAAUCGGUUCAGUCCAGACCAUGGGAAACUCAGUUCCUUCUGCAGAUAAGGACACAUUAUUGGAGAGGGAGGGGCAAACUGUACAGGCAAAGAGACUUAAGAAGUUUAUAGACCAAUUUGCAUCGAAGUUUGGUUUGUCAAGACCUCUCGUGGCCUUUGUGUUCCUCAGAGCAUCCUCUGUGCUUUGGCUUCUGAGGCCAAUUGCCUGUUCGUUUCCUACCUCCUUUUGCGUUCCUGAGAGAUAAUUGGAUUGGCCCAGGUCCUCUUUUUUGUUCUAGGCUGUAGGUCAGAGGUCAGCCGGUGGACUACCUGGUUUGAUCAUAUGUCCUCCUUUGACUUACUCAGCUGGAGGUAAAGGGCCAAGGGGACCUCAUGAGGAAGGGGUGAUGUGUGCAGCUGCUCAACACCCUGAAAGGCAAUUUGGGGACCAAGAGGGAGAGUUAAUAAACUGACCUAACGCAUU